CCCUUAGACACUCUAGGCGGCACGCGCGCUACACUGGGUGGAAGAACGUGUUACUGCCAUCGAAAGGUGGGGUGAAUCACGAAUUCUUGCCCGUGGAUGGGAUAGUUUGUUGCAAUUUUCGGACUUGAACUAGGAAUCCCUUGUAAGCAUGCUCAAGAAUAGCGUGUUGAAUACGUCCCUGCCGUUUGUACACACCGCCCGUCGUUUCUUCCGACUGAUACUCAUUGUGAGUUGCAAGGAUCCUUCAUUGGAGAAUUGCCGCGAAUGCUUUGUAUUGGAGGAAGAAAAAGUCGUAACA
rnacentral:rRNA from 1 species